AGAGUAAGUCAGCUUAAUCCAGCAAAUCAUACUUCGUGAUGCUGGAGCGGAGGAACCAAAUUGUGGGGCGUAUCUUAUAUAAAGAGGGGCAUCUCUCAGCCCUAGCCCGUCAGCUAACUUCGUAGGCAUUGAGAGGAGACUGA
rnacentral:sRNA from 2 species